GAAUUAGACAAACGAUGUCGUUGACGCGGCUUUAUAAGCGCUUUGUAGUUCCCCGCAAUUAAGGGCGGAACUCAAGUUCAAGUCGCAACUUUACAGAGUGUUUGCAUUUGCGCUUUUGGACUGGCAAA